GCUGGGGGUAGUUGCACACAUCUGUUGUCCCAGAUACUCGGGUGGCUUAGGUGGGAGGAGAGCCCAAGCCCAGGACUUCUGAGCUGUAGUGCCCUAUGUCAAUUAGGUGUCUGUACUAAGUUCAGCAUGAAUAUGAUGACCUUCAGGAGUGGGGGACCACCAGGUAGCCUAAGGAGGAGGGAAUCUGCCCAGGUCAGAAAUGGAGCAGGUCAAAACUGAUGUGCUGAUCCAUAGUGAGAUAGUCCCUAUGAAUAGCCAUGCACUCCAGCCUGGGCAGCAUAGCGAGACCCCAUCUCUA
rfam:Chlorocebus sabaeus isolate 1994-021 chromosome 6, whole genome shotgun sequence.